rnacentral:rRNA from 1 species
UGGGGAAUAUUGGACAAUGGGCGAAAGCCUGAUCCAGCCAUGCCGCGUGUGUGAAGAUGGUCUUCGGAUUGUAAAGCACUUUAAGUUGGGAGGAAGGGCAGUAAGCGAAUACCUUGCUGUUUUGACGUUACCGACAGAAUAAGCACCGGCUAACUCUGUGCCAGCAGCCGCGGUAAUACAGAGGGUGCAAGCGUUAAUCGGAAUUACUGGGCGUAAAGCGCGCGUAGGUGGUUCGUUAAGUUGAAUGUGAAAGCCCCGGGCUCAACCUGGGAACUGCAUCCAAAACUGGCGAGCUAGAGUAGGGCAGAGGGUGGUGGAAUUUCCUGUGUAGCGGUGAAAUGCGUAGAUAUAGGAAGGAACACCAGUGGCGAAGGCGACCACCUGGGCUCAUACUGACACUGAGGUGCGAAAGCGUGGGGAGCAAACAAG